rnacentral:rRNA from 1 species
AUUGAACGCUGGCGGCAUGCCUUACACAUGCAAGUCGAACGGUAGAGGGGCAACCCUCGAGAGUGGCGAACGGGUGAGUAACGCAUCGGAACGUGCCCAGUAGUGGGGGAUAGCCCGGCGAAAGCCGGAUUAAUACCGCAUACGACCUACGGGUGAAAGCGGGGGAUCGCAAGACCACGCUCUAUUGGCGCGGCCGAUGUCAGAUGAGGUAGUGGGUGGGGAAAAAGCCUACCAAGCCGACGAUCUGUAGCUGGUCUGAGAGGACGACCAUCCACACUGGGACUGAGACACGGCCCAGACUCCUACGGGAGGCAGCAGUGGGGAAUUUUGGACAAUGGGCGCAAGCCUGAUCCAGCCAUGCCGCGUGUGUGAAGAAGGCCUUCGGGUUGUAAAGCACUUUUGUCCGGAAAGAAAAGCAUUCGGCUAAUAACCGGGUGUUAUGACGGUACCGGAAGAAUAAGCACCGGCUAACUUCGUGCCAGCCGCCGCCGUAAUAC